GGGUCAGUAGGUUGGUCGUGCCACCGGUACGUACUGGUCUCACUGAUUCCUCCUUCCUGAAGAACCGUAAUGCCAUUAAUUUGGUGUUGCGGGGAAACAGGACUGUUACUUUGAAAAAAUUAGAGUGUUUAAAGCAAGCUAACGCUUGAAUACAUUAGCAUGGAAUAAUGAAAUAGGACGAUCGAUCCUAUUUUGCUGGUAUCUAGGAUUGACGUA
rnacentral:rRNA from 1 species